UGCAUUGAACUUAAGAUUCAAAUAUAAAGUAUUUUUAAACUUUUAUUAAAA
rnacentral:tRNA from 1 species